UCAUUUCAGGCCGCGCUGUUUGUCUUGUGCUUUCAGACGCAGGUCUGCUGCAGAAGGAUGCCGCGGUGCUGAAGCUGCAGGAGGAGCUUCAGCCCAACCUGCACGUCCUGGGAACGCUGUUCCUCAGCAAACGCUGCAGCCGGGCCUUCGACCUCAUCCUGCUCUCUCAGUUUGUGUCUAUCGGGAUCAGCUAUGUUCUGGCGGGGAGUGAAGCCUACGCUGCACUGCUUCAUACCAGUCACAUCUAUGUUAUCCCUGUGUUCACGUGGACACUCUCAUUGGGUAUUCUUCUGGCCCAGGUCAUCAUUCAGCCAAUCACGUCACUUCUGACACUUCUCAAAGGCAUCCUAUUGAUCAUAACGCCCAGGAUGACAGAGGUAGGAUGUACAGGUCCAAAUCUGUCACCGGUUCAGCAGAUGUGAUGGAACACUAGGACACUCAGUCCAAGUCUCCAACCUCCUGAAACAGCAGCAGAAAUCUCCAAAAUACGUGCAGAAAAGUGCAGCCGGGGAUAAAAUUACAGAAAAUACUCAAAACAACUGAUAAUAUUUAAUAUUAAACUGAUGAAGAAAAUACAUUAUGUAUUGCUUAUAACUUUUCUAAUGUAAUAUUAAGUCUAGGGGUCAGUGAUAUGAGUAUUUUGCGAUAACAGUAUUCUUAAUGAUAUGGA
rnacentral:lncRNA from 1 species